AGCGAACGCUGGCGGCAGGCCUAACACAUGCAAGUCGAACGAACCUUUCGGGGUUAGUGGCGGACGGGUGAGUAACACGUGGGAACGUGCCUUUAGGUUCGGAAUAACUCAGGGAAACUUGUGCUAAUACCGAAUGUGCCCUUCGGGGGAAAGAUUUAUCGCCUUUAGAGCGGCCCGCGUCUGAUUAGCUAGUUGGUUGAGGUAAUGGCUCACCAAGGCGACGAUCAGUAGCUGGUCUGAGAGGAUGACCAGCCACAUUGGGACUGAGACACGGCCCAAACUCCUACGGGAGGCAGCAGUGGGGAAUCUUGCGCAAUGGGCGAAAGCCUGACGCAGCCAUGCCGCGUGAAUGAUGAAUGUCUUAGGAUUGUAAAAUUCUUUCACCGGGGACGAUAAUGACGGUACCCGGAGAAGAAGCCCCGGCUAACUUCGUG
rnacentral:rRNA from 1 species